rnacentral:rRNA from 1 species
GACGUAGGGUCCGAGCGUUGUCCGGAGUUACUGGGCGUAAAGGGCGCGUAGGCGGUUCCAUGCGUCACACGUGAAAGCCCCUGGCUCAACCAGGGAGGGUCGUGUGAAACGGGGGAACUGGAGGCAGAGAGAGGCUGGUGGAAUUCCCGGAGUAGUGGUGAAAUGCGUAGAUAUCGGGGAGGAACACCGGUGGCGAAGGCGGCCAGCUGGCUCUGACCUGACG